rnacentral:rRNA from 1 species
CCCUUAGAUGUUCUGGGCCGCACGCGCGCUACACUGAUGCAUUCAACAAGCCUAGCCUUGACCGAGAGGUCCGGGUAAUCUUUGAAACUGCAUCGUGAUGGGGCUAGAUUAUUGCAAUUAUUAAUCUUCAACGAGGAAUGCCUAGUAAGCGUGAUUCAUCAAAUCGCGUUGAUUACGUCCCUGCCCUUUGUGCACACCGCCCGUCGCUCCUACCGAUUGAAUGUGUUGGUGAGGAGCUCGGAUUGGCAGCAGUUGGUGGUUCGCCACCGGCUAUUGCUGAGAAGUCCUCCAAACCGCCCCAUUUAGAGGAAGGAGAAGUCGUAACA